UACGAAGGGGGCUAGCGUUGCUCGGAAUCACUGGGCGUAAAGCGCACGUAGGCGGAUGUGUCAGUCAGGGGUGAAAUCCCGGAGCUCAACUUCGGAACUGCCUUUGAUACAGCACGUCUUGAGUCCGAUAGAGGUGGGUGGAAUUCCUAGUGUAGAGGUGAAAUUCGUAGAUAUUAGGAAGAACACCGGGUGGCGAAGGCGGCCCA
rnacentral:rRNA from 1 species